rnacentral:rRNA from 1 species
AUUGAACGCUGGCGGCAGGCCUAACACAUGCAAGUCGAACGAGUGGCGGACGGGUGAGUAAUGUCUGGGAAACUGCCUGAUGGAGGGGGAUAACUACUGGAAACGGUAGCUAAUACCGCAUACCAUCAGAUGAUCCCAGAUGGGAUUAGCUUGUUGGUGGGGUAACGGCUUACCAAGGCGACGAUCCCUAGCUGGCCUGAGAGGAUGACCAGCCACACUGGAACUGAGACACGGCCCAGACUCCUAAGGGAGGCAGCAGUGGGGAAUAUUGGGCAAUGGGCGCAAGCCUGAUGGAGCAAUGCCGCGUGUAUGAAGAAGGCGUUCGGGUUGUAAAGUACUUUCAGCGGGGAGGCGUUACCCACCGAGGAAGCACCGGCUAACUACGUGCCAGCAGCCGCGGUAAUAC